AUGAAGGGAAAAGACUGCAAACGUGAGAAAUAUUGUAUUAUAGUAUACAUAAGUCAAGUGAAUUAUACAUUUUCUGAUUACUCUAAUCUUCUGUGUUUGGAUACAUCAUGUAUGACAGCACUAGAUGACAAAAUAUCAUACUUGGACUGGACCUGCAUACACAGCAAAAGUCUGGCAUCAUAUUAGAAAAAAGAAAAGGAGGAAAAAACACUUUUUUUCCAGAUGCAACCUUUCUUCCCCCCCCCAAGUGAGUGCACUAUAAUUUUCAGCCUGUCCUAAAUGUGAAAGGAUAUUAAUAUGCGUUUACAUCUGUCUUCUAUUAAUAUUCAUGCCUGAAUCCACAUCUCUACACAAAGCCAAUUUUCUGGCCAUCUGGGUUAUGGCUGGUGGAGGUGAUGGAUCCGUUUUUAUUUGCAAGGCAGCAAUACAUCAUGAAUUCCCCUCUCCGUCGAGGUGUUGUGGAGCGCCUGAGCAAAAAAUGGAGGAUUUUAAUUAGAAAAUAAAAGAUGGGUUUCAUUGGGACCCCCAUCUCCCUCCAGUCUUUCUGUGGAAAACAGCAAAAAAUUCCAACAUACCCCCACAUGAAGAUAUAGAGAAUCACAUCUGCUUUUAAUGGUUUUAUUAAAGAAUCUUAAAUUUUACUUAAUUUCAAUAUACUAAUUAUCGAGCAGUAAUGAAAUAUAAGAUAAAAUGAUACAAUGUCCUGCAAUCCAACAGAGGAUAUGCAAUUUGGAGAAUGGAUGGAUGAUAUAACAUAAAAUCCACUUCCUUUUAAUUCUUAAGUAAAAAUUUCAAUACCUAAAACAACAACACAAAAAAAAUUAUAAAUAAAACACUAAAAACCAAAACCAGUCAUUUAAUAUGCUACGAGUGAAUUUAGGCAACACAACAUUAUGAUAUUUAUUUUGAGAUUUGGUAAAGAUUACAUUUAACAGUCUUAUUAACGAUUCAAUACCCAAUAUCGAUACUGAUAAAUUUAAAUAAAAUCUAUAAUACUCUGAUAACAGAUAUAAGUAUUCUGAAAGUUGUAACUACAGUAACUAGACAAGAACUGAUGGCUCAAAUGUAUCAAAUUCUGAAAAAAGGGUAAAUAUCAGAAGUAACCCACCUUAGAAGUCAGUCUUUAUCGGAAAACAUUUGGAAAGGGCGACGGUCAAUCGAACCACUGUCGCCCUCUUAUUAUACAGAUAUCAAUUAUUGGAAUAGUAGCGUGAGUGUGCGUCUCAGGAGGCCAAACGCUGUCUAUCAGGCAUGGACACUUCUUAAUGAUUAAUGCUGGAAGUUACUCCAUGAACUCCAACUGCAUACCCAUGGGGCUUAGAAGCCUCACAAAAUGACCAGUUUUAU
ensembl:lncRNA